rnacentral:tRNA from 1 species
GCCCUUGUGGCUCAGAGGUAGAGCACUCCCUUGGUAAGGGAGAGGUCGCGAGUUCGAGUCUCGCCAAGGGCA